UCAAGUAGCUCUUGGCACCAUACUGGGGUAAUCUCCCUGACAAUUUAGUUUUUAUCUUUCUCAUUAGAUUGUGCUUCCGUAUCUCUCCAGCUCCCUCCCCCCCCCCCCCCCCCCCCCCAAUCUAUCUGUCUCUCUUGUUGCUAGGUAAAAAACUCAGAGCAACCGCAAUGGAAGCUGACUCACGGCCUAUACAUGGGAGAUGGAAAAACUAAGUAUUGCCAAAUGACUAGAAAACUUUCUGCAGCAACCUGCAUGAGAUUCCACUUUAGGCCAUGUUUCUCUGACAACACAGUUGUUUCCAAGGGUCCCUGGAGCUCCCAUACACUGGCUACAGUUUCUGACCAGACCUUGAGUGCUGCUAGUUGUGUUGACGAGCUCAGAAACUGUUCCCUGCAAUGAAAAGAAACUUCAAAUUGGUUCUCCCAUGAGGCUGGUGUGAGAUCUGGCGAUAUCUUCACAUUUUACAUUAAUAAAGUGGAGUCUGUUCCCUUCUUACUUAUAUGU
rnacentral:lncRNA from 1 species